UUGUGGAUAAAAAGCUCGUAGUUGGAUCUCGGCGGACUGAGGGCGGUUUGCUUGCUAGUAUUACUGCCCUAUAGUCCGUAGUUUUGCCAGAGGUUUCGGGGUGCUCUUAAUCGAGUGUCCCGGGAUGCUGGCAGGUUUACUUUGAAAAAAUUAGAGUGCUCAAAGCAGGCUAUUACGCCUGAAUAUUCGUGCAUGGAAUAAUAGAAUAGGAAAUCGUUUCUAUUUUGUUGGUUUUCGGAAAUCGACUUAAUGAUUAAUAGGGACAGUCGGGGGCAUUUGUAUUCAAACGACAGAGGUGAAAUUCUUGGACCGUUUGAAGACAAACUACUGCGAAAGCAUUUGCCAAGAAUGUUUUCAUUAAUCAAGAACGAAAGUUAAAGGUUCGAAGGCGAUUAGAUACCGCCCUAGUUUUAACCAUAAACGAUGCCAGCUAGCGAUCUGCGGACGUUUUUUUUGUAGACUCCGCAGGAAGCUUCCGGGAAACCAAAGCAUUUGGGUUCCAGGGGAAGUAUGGUUGCAAAGCUGAAACUUAAAGGAAUUGACGGAAGGGCACCACCAGGAGUGGAGCCUGUGGCUUAAUUUGACUCAACACGGGAAAUCUCACCAGGCCCGGACACUGGAAGGAUUGACAGAUUGAUAGCUCUUUCUUGAUUCGGUGGGUGGUGGUGCAUG
rnacentral:rRNA from 1 species